rnacentral:rRNA from 1 species
CUCCGGGUGAUCCUGCGGGACCCGACUGCUAUCAGAGUGGGACUAAGCCAUGCGAGUCAACGUAGCAAUACGUGGCAUACGGCUCAGUAACACGUAGUCAACAUGCCCAGGGGACGAGGAUAACCUCGGGAAACUGAGGAUAAACCUCGAUAGGCCAUGAUUUCUGGAAUGAUUCUUGGCUCAAACCUAUAUGGCCCCUGGAUUGGACUGCGGCCGAUCAGGCUGUUGGUGAGGUAAUGGCCCACCAAACCUGUAACCGGUACGGGCUCUGAGAGGAGGAGCCCGGAGAUGGGCACUGAGACAAGGGCCCAGGCCCUAUGGGGCGCAGCAGGCGCGAAACCUCUGCAAUAGGCGAAAGCUUGACAGGGUUACUCUGAGUGAUGUCCGUUAAGGGCAUCUUUUGGCACUUCUAAAAAUAGUGUAGAAUAAGGGGUGGGCAAGUCUGGUGUCAGCCGCCGCGGUAAUACCAGCACCCCGAGUGGUCGGGACGAUUAUUGGGCCUAAAGCAUCCGUAGCCGGUUCUGCAAGUCUUCCGUUAAAUCCACCUGCUCAACAGAUGGGCUGCGGAGGAUACUACAGGGCUAGGAGGCGGGAGAGGCAAGCGGUACUCAGUGGGUAGGGGUAAAAUCCUCUGAUCCACUGAAGACCACCAGUGGCGAAGGCGGCUUGCCAGAACGCGCUCGACGGUGAGGGAUGAAAGCUGGGGGAGCAAACCGGAUUAGAUACCCGGGUAGUCCCAGCUGUAAACGAUGCAGACUCGGUGAUGGGUUGGCUUCGAGCCAACCCAGUGCCGCAGGGAAGCCGUUAAGUCUGCCGCCUGGGGAGUACGGUCGCAAGACUGAAACUUAAAGGAAUUGGCGGGGGAGCA